GGCUUCAACAUCCCCGCAGGCUGGGUGCGGAUUCGGACUUCAAGUUCGAAGACGCGCAGUGAGCCGGCUGGAGCC
rnacentral:sRNA from 12 species